UUGGCCUGGAUCUGGUACCUCGAGUGGACGGUGCCAUGGUAGACGUGGACGCCGUGGGGGCCGUUAAGCUCUACCAGCUUCACGUCCAGAGUCGGGAGUCUUCUUUGAGCCAAGCAACUCGAGGCUGGCUUGUCGACGCAGCAGUAGUCGCGUCAUCCCAGGCACACGACCGCGCGCUCUGAACCAUCACUUGUUCUUCUGCAUGCGUGACAUGAGCUAUCACGUGGGCGAGGACUCAGAGGUCUUCUUCUCUUUGUACGACGCUUCCCGUCAGCGCUUCAUCAGUGAACGCUUCCUGGUCCGCCUCACCAAGGAAGGAUUUGCUAACUACAUCGACCGUGUCACCAGCAACUGCACGCUUU